AUGUCUCAAAAUCAGCUCUGGGUUUUACUCAAAUCUGACCAAAUUCUUUGAGGCCCAUCCGACUUGUAAGUUUCUCAGAAAAAUAGAGAGCUGAGAAAAUUCUAAGCCUCCUUGUUUAUGCAAGUAUCUUCUGUCUUCUGAGCUUCUCUGUGGUAUAUGCCAAACUCUGUCUUUGGCCUACAACUGUAGACAGCAUAUGUCAAGUUCUUUGCAGGAUGUUUAUAAAUCCAUUUUCAAGAUGUGUGGCAAGAGAAUACAAAGAUCAUCACUUUCCCACAAUGGAAAGAUGGAAUCCAGUGUAUCUUCUUCCAAAGAAGCCUUUUGUGAACAUCCUGUUUCUUUUCUGUGCACUAAAACUUAUAGUCAGCAAAAAGAAUUGACCUGUAGAACUAUAAAGUGAUGGGCAUCAAAGGAUCACAUAAAUUAUUACAACCAACAUCUUUGUAUGUCAAGACUCCAUGAGAGUGUCUUAAGACCUUGCAUCUCACAUGAAAGCAGAAUCAGGAAAAAUUAACGACAUGAAGUACUGCAUACUGAGGAAGAUAAACUGCAUAAUAACGAGUUCCCAUGAAUCACAGAAAAAAAGAUGCCAUGCUGAGGAAAACAAAGGGAUCAAACUCCGAUUUCCUGUACAGGAGAGAAGAAUCCUCCCACUGUCUUGCAUCUCCAGGUUCUCAUAUGCUUGUUCUUUCUUAAAGAUUGUAGGUAAGAAGCCCAGGGAAUAGUAAAUCAAAUUUGGUGAAUUAUCUCCCUACUUC
rnacentral:lncRNA from 1 species